rnacentral:rRNA from 1 species
UACGUAGGGUGCGAGCGUUAAUCGGAAUUACUGGGCGUAAAGCGUGCGCAGGCGGUUCGUUGUGUCGGCGGUGAAAGCCCCGGGCUCAACCUGGGAAUGGCCGUUGAAACUGGCGAACUGGAGUGUGGCAGAGGGGGGUGGAAUUCCGCGUGUAGCAGUGAAAUGCGUAGAGAUGCGGAGGAACACCGAUGGCGAAGGCAGCUCCCUGGGCUAACACUGACGCUCAGGCACGAAAGCGUGGGGAGCAAACAGG